UACGUAGGGUGCAAGCGUUAAUCGGAAUUACUGGGCGUAAAGCGUGCGCAGGCGGUUAUGUAAGACAGAUGUGAAAUCCCCGGGCUCAACCUGGGAACUGCAUUUGUGACUGCAUAGCUAGAGUACGGUAGAGGGGGAUGGAAUUCCGCGUGUAGCAGUGAAAUGCGUAGAUAUGCGGAGGAACACCGAUGGCGAAGGCAAUCCCCUGGACCUGUACUGACGCUCAUGC
rnacentral:rRNA from 1 species